GACGAACGCUGGCGGCGUGCUUAACACAUGCAAGUCGAACGGAAAGGCCUCUUUCGGGGGGUACUCGAGUGGCGAACGGGUGAGUAACACGUGAGUAACCUGCCCUUGACUUUGGGAUGACUUCAGGAAACUGGGGCUAAUACCGGAUAGGAGCUCCUGCUGCAUGGUGGGGGUUGGAGAGUUUCGGCGGUUGGGGAUGGACUCGCGGCUUAUCAGCUUGUUGGUGGGGUAGUGGCUUACCAAGGCUUUGACGGGUAGCCGGCCUGAGAGGGUGACCGGCCACAUUGGGACUGAGAUACGGCCCAGACUCCUACGGGAGGCAGCAGUGGGGAAUAUUGCACAAUGGGUGGAAGCCUGAUGCAGCAACGCCGUGUGCGGGAUGACGGCCUUCGGGUUGUAAACCGCUUUCGCUCAUGACGAAGCUUUGUGUGACGGUAGUGGGUAAAGAAGCACCGGCUAACUACGUG
rnacentral:rRNA from 1 species